GAUGAGCACAUUAUGUAAUCUUCAAUUUGUGUUUCAAAAAACAUGAGUUUCUAUUUUUAAGCUGAUUUUUGAAGGCCAAAUUGAAGAUUACAUAAUGUGCUCAUCCAUCUAUCUGAUUACUAGAAAAGCUUGACUGAGGUGAAGUAAAGACUAUCAUUGAAGACUUCAAAUAAUAAAAGUGUCCUGUGCUUUUAAUCCCUCUUUUUUUACACGCAUUACUAGCAAAAGCAUGAAUAGGCCAAGUGGUUCUUCUUUGAAAUAUAGGGGGAGAAAUGAUUGGUGACAGACGAAGAGGAACCUGGAAUAUCGGCCGGAACAAGUACUUGCGUCUUACCGGAAGCUAUUCUCUUACCAGCUACAUUGGCAUAGAAUAGGCCAGAUAUGGCUGGUACAAAGACAUCACUUUGAGAACAUAUGUAGAAGUCAAUAACCUUUUCAAACUCUGAAUCUUCCGAUUCGAGGAACUUUGUUUUUUUUUCUUCAGGCAUGAUGCUUUCCUUUGUAUA
rnacentral:misc_RNA from 1 species